rnacentral:rRNA from 1 species
AGAUUGAACGCUGGCGGCAUGCCUAACACAUGCAAGUCGAACGGGAGUAGCAAUACUCUAGUGGCGGACGGGUGAGGAAUACGUAGGAAUUUGCCCUUAAGUGGGGGAUAACCCGGGGAAACCCGGAUUAAUACCGCAUGACCUCGAAAGAGCAAAGUGGGGGAUCGCAAGACCUCACGCUUUUGGAGAAGCCUACGUCGGAUUAGCUAGUUGGUGAGGUAAUGGCUCACCAAGGCGACGAUCCGUAACUGGUCUGAGAGGAUGGAUCAGUCACACCGGAACUG